rnacentral:lncRNA from 1 species
AAGAUCUCAAGAAGCGGAUUGAGGAACUUCAGAAGCAGAUUGAAGAACUCAAGCUAAACUCUGCUCAAAUUCUGGCCGCUGGAUUCGAAGCUGCACGGGAACAAUUUGCCUGCUUGUUCCCCGACCUGGAUCUCAGCAUGGUGUCGCUGGAUAAUGAAGUGGUGGAUGGAAAAGUGGUGCCCGCCGAAGACUGAUCAAUUUAAUUCAUCCAUCGCUUUCAUACUCUCCCUUGCAUUAUAACUUGUAAUAGACUUUAUGUCCUUUCGUAUAUAUGUUUUGAACUGUUAUUCACUGUUAAUGACAAAGUCUACGUUUUUCCUC